GCAUAUACGUAUACAUACAUAUAUAUAUAUAUAUAUACACAUACGCAUAUAUAUAUGUGUGUGUGUGUGUGUAUGC